rnacentral:tRNA from 1 species
GAUUCUUUUGUAUAAUGGUUAUUACAACUACCCUUCAAGUAGUAAAUAUCAGUUCAAUUCUGAUAAGAAUUA